rnacentral:rRNA from 1 species
GACGAACGCUGGCGGCGUGCCUAAUACAUGCAAGUUGAGCGCUGAAGGUUGGUACUUGUACCGACUGGAUGAGCAGCGAACGGGUGAGUAACGCGUGGGGAAUCUGCCUUUGAGCGGGGGACAACAUUUGGAAACGAAUGCUAAUACCGCAUAAAAACUUUAAACACAAGUUUUAAGUUUGAAAGAUGCAAUUGCAUCACUCAAAGAUGAUCCCGCGUUGUAUUAGCUAGUUGGUGAGGUAAAGGCUCACCAAGGCGAUGAUACAUAGCCGACCUGAGAGGGUGAUCGGCAACAUUGGGACGGAGACACGGCCCAAACUCCUACGGGAGGCAGCAGUAGGGAAUCUUCGGCAAUGGACGAAAGUCUGACAGAGCAACGCCGCGUGAGUGAAGAAGGUUUUCGGAUCGUAAAACUCUGUUGGUAGAGAAGAACGUUGGUGAGAGUGGAAAGCUCAUCAAGUGACGGUAACUACCCAGAAAGGGACGGCUAACUACGUG